rnacentral:rRNA from 1 species
GAUUAUGGCUCAGAACGAACGCUGGUAGCGUGGAUUAGGCAUGCAAGUCGAACGGGAUCGGGGGGUUAGCAAUAAUCUUCCGUGAGAGUGGCGGAUGGGGAGGAACACGUGAGCAACCUGCCCUUGAGUUGGGGAAAACCGUUGGAAACGACGGCUAAUACCGGAUGUGGCGCCUGGCGACAUCGCCGGAGCGCUAAAGGGGGCCCAAAAGGCUCCCGCUCGAGGAGGGGCUCGCGCACCAUCAGCUUGUUGGCGGGGUAACGGCCCACCAAGGCGCACGGUUAGCUAGUCUGAGAGGAUGACCAGCCCCACUGGGACUGAGAUACUGCCCAGACUCCUACGGGAGGCUGCAGUCGAGGAUCAUUUGCAAUGGGCGAAAGCCUGACAAUGCGACGCUGCGUGGAGGAAUGAAGGCCUUCGGGUUGUAAACUCCUGUCAUGGGGGAACAGGCGAGGGGAGUCAAUACCUCCCUUAGUUGAGUGUACCCCAAGAGGAAUUGGCGGCUAACUCUGUGCCAGCAGCCGC